rnacentral:rRNA from 1 species
GCAUAUCAAUAAGCGGAGGAAAAGAAACUAACAAGGAUUCCCCUAGUAACGGCGAGUGAAGAGGGAAGAGCCCAAGAUUGAAAGCUGGCGUCUUCGGCGUCCGCAUUGUAAUCUCAAGAAGUGUUUUCCGCUUCGGACCAAGCCUAAGUCCCUUGGAAAAGGGCAUCAUAGAGGGUGAUAAUCCCGUACAUGGCUUGGAGCGCCCGAAGCUUUGUGAUACGCUUUCUAAGAGUCGAGUUGUUUGGGAAUGCAGCUCAAAAUGGGUGGUAAAUGCCAUCUAAGGCUAAAUAUUGGGGAGAGACCGAUAGCGAACAAGUACAGUGAUGGAAAGAUGAAAAGAACUUUGAAAAGAGAGUUAAACAGUACGUGAAAUUGCCAAAAGGGAAGGGUAGGAGGUCAGAGAUGCGGCCUGGGAUUCAGCCUUGCUUUUGCUUGGUGUUUUUCCCAGAUUGCAGGCCAACGUCGGUUUUGGGCACUGGAGAAGGGUAGGAGGAACGUGGCACCUCUCGGGGUGUGUUAUAGCCUCCUACUGGAUACAGCGACCGAGACCGAGGACAGCAGCGUACUCGCAAGAGCGGGCCUUCGGGCACCUUUACGCUUAGGGCGUUGGCAUAAUGGCCCUCUACCGACCCGUCUUGAAACACGGACC